CCUGCAGCAUGCCCACCUCAUCCCCGUCGCUGCUCAGCGCGCGCCGGUGGACCGCUCACGGCUGCGCCGCGCCGAUGGGCCCGCGUGCCGAUGGGGGCACCCCCGCGCCGAUGACGGCGCCCGCGGCUGGCCUGCCCCUCGCGCCGCGCCGAUGGGGGCCGGCGGCCGCCCGUCCUGCCCGCGCGCCGCUGCGGCCGGCCUAGCCGUCGGCUCCAUGGCGAGCACCGGCGGCGGACAGGGGCGGCAGGACGCGCCCCGGCCGUCGUCCCACGGCGAGGAGCGGCGGGAACCCUCUGCCCCGCGGCAAGGGUGGCGCGCCGUGGCACUGCCGAUCGCCCUCGGCAUCCCCGCGGCGCGCUACCGGGAUGAGGAGCGGCGAGCGGUGUCGGGGUGCGCCGCGGCCGCCCCGAGCUCGAGAGCCUGCGCGCGUGCCCCCCGGGAUUCCUUCUUGUGCCCGUCAGGGUGCUGGACCGAUAGGGGCUGGGCGCAACGGGUGCCCCGCGCCGGCGCUCAGCACGCCUGCGGCCACCAGGAAGACAAGUGCGGCUAGCCUGGGCACCGUGGCAUCGCCGCCGACCGGCGCGGCCCCGCGGCGAGCGGCGCCGAUGGCGCGCUGCAGAUGCGUGCCUAGACGCUAGCGCCCGACGCGCAGCCGCCGGCACCAUACGCAGCGCGUGGCACGGCCAGGAGGCUGUAGCGGGGCAUGCCCGGGUCUGGACGAUCGAAGAAGUGUUCGACGGGCAUCUGGCGCCGCGGCGACAAGGAGAGUCCAGCCCGUGCUUCCUGCUUCCUCCACUAGAGAAGUAAGUAUUUGGAUGCUGAAUCAAUGGGACAACAUGAUUAUGAUGGAACCAGCUCAAAAUCGUGGAGGAGAUGCUCCUGUGCGUUCUUCCUUUUUGCUUGUUACAUUGUUGAUUUUCCAUCUGAUUAGCUUUGAUGCCAUCUUCUUACUGGCUGGCGAGAGGAACUCCAUUGCUUUGGCAAAAUUGAAGCUAGGAUUCAAGCUCACUGAUUGGUGUCAAGAGGACUGCGACUCAAUUGAUUUUAGGGACGAGAUUUUGGC